AAGGAUCAUUAUUGUAUAACAGAGGUGCCGGGGCUGUCGCCGACUUUGUGCACGCCCCGGUGCUCUCUCACAAUCCAUCUCACCCCCUUUGUGCAUCACCGCGUGGGCGCUCUCCUUUUGGUUCAUUCUGAAAAGGGGGCGUUUGCGUUUUUAUACAGACCACCCGCAUGUGUAGAAUGUCUUACUAUUUGCGAUAACACGCAAUCAAUACAACUUUCAACAACGGAUCUCUUGGCUCUCGCAUCGAUGAAGAACGCAGCGAAAUGCGAUACGUAAUGUGAAUUGCAGAAUUCAGUGAAUCAUCGAAUCUUUGAACGCACCUUGCGCCCCUUGGAAUUCCGAGGGGCACACCCGUUUGAGUGUCGUGAACAUCCUUCAACCUUUCUUGGUUUCUUGACCGGGGAAGGCUUGGACUUUGGGGGUUUUUCAUUGCUGGCCUCCAUUGAAGCCAGCUCCUCCUAAAUGGAUUAGUGGGGUCUGCUUUGCCGAUCCUUGACGUGAUAAGAUGUUUCUACGUCUUGGGUUUCGCACUGUCGCUUCGGACCCCGCUUCUAACCGUCUUGCAUGCAAGACAGAGUUAUGAACCUUGA
rnacentral:rRNA from 1 species